rnacentral:sRNA from 1 species
GACUUCAUAAACGAGAGUUCAACGGUCGGACAACAGAAUUGCCUGUGCAGGUGGCUUCUCAAAUCAGUUGCAUUCUUAGCACAGAUUAAACCAAUCUUUGGCUUGUCUUCUAUCUGAGUUAUUCUUCAGCUCAGGAGAUUCAACGCUUCUAUGCCUGUCAUCUCAUUAUUUACAUGAUCAGUUCAUGACAACGAAGUUCAGACCGAAUAUUUUAUGGAUUGGGCACAAUCGAAUACAAUAGCUAUUUUUGAUGUUUGCUAUGACAUCAAACUGAUACUAGUACAGUUUAUAAAAUUUGACAUUGAAACGAGCUUGACAAUUUUUUAUCAACAGCAAAAGAAGUAAAUAUAAUCGAACACAAAAUGAAAACGAUAAAAUGGC